rfam:Ovis aries breed Texel chromosome 13, whole genome shotgun sequence.
UCCCUGGUGGUCUAGUGGUUAAGACCCUGCCCUUCCACUGCAGGGAACGUGGGCUUGAUCCCCAGUCUGGGAA